GAGGGAGGGGAGGGAGAGAGGAGGAAGGGGUGAGAGGGAGAAACCUGCCGCGGCUCUCCGCCUCUUUGUCUGCUCUGGGACUUGGAACAAAAGGGGAAACUCUGAUGAACUCCUUCUCCAGCUCCCUGGACGCCCGAGUAUCUCUUUCUCGCAACUUUGUCAACGCGACUUUCUCCGCUGUCAGGCUGCGCAAAAGUAUCCUAGCGCCUCGCAGGCUGCAACAAUGGAAACAAUGUCCCUUCAAAGUGCGACGAAGUGGAGGGAGAAGGUGUCAUACCAGCGACUCCAAGAGUCAUGUCACCCACUUAGCAGGAGUACUUCUACUGAAAUGCCUUCGAAUUUCUCUUACUGGAUAUAUACCUACCAGCCGCUAGCAUGAAGAUGCCAGGACCGCUGCAAGUUAGCACUGGACAAAGUAGCAUCAACUUCUUCAUUUAGAGUUUCUUCAGUUAAAUUGCUGGGAUUUUCGACAAGGCUUUCCUUAUGUGGAUUAUUGGAGUGUGAUGCCCGAGAAUUCUCUACUUGUAGAAGCACGCCCACGGGACUGCAGAAGCCUUCACACCCACCCAGCACGCUCAGAAAGUACUGUCUUCAACCUUACCAAUGUCAGUGGCGGCGACGGUGGCGUCACCAUCACCAUCAGAGAAAAAGAAAUAUGCCUUUAUGUCAUGAUGGGAAUGAGUGAUGGCCAUCCAGUGACCAGCUGGAUCUGACUGCCUUACAAGACGCAUGUGUAUGAUUAAGAGAGAGACAUUCGUGACUCCCAGAUGUACCUCCUUCCUGUCCCACAGUGUUCCUGAAGGGAGUGAGUUAUGGGGUAACUUAUAACACAGCAGGCUCUUCCUCAAGAUAGCUCUUGUCAAAACAGGAAGACGAAACUCGGGUUUCCAUGAGGAGACCACAGCUUGGGAUCCUGUCUGGAUGUACAAGCAGAAGCAUCUUCAUACUUUUCCAUUUCUAACCAUCAUGCCUCACCCCACCCUCCCAAGGCGACAUCUGCAGAGAGGUGGAACCAUCUAGGGAGGCCUGCCACUGUUUGCUGAGCUCCGGGUGAGGAUGAAGACACUUUGACAUGGCCAGCUUCAGACUCGGGAUCUGUCGGUGUUAGCAGCCGAAGGAGAAUGAGGAGGAAGAGGAGGAGAAAGAGGAGGAGGAAGUAAGACAGAGGGGGACAAGAGGACCAAGAGGGCACAUGGCUGAGGAGGAGGAGAACAACAACAACAACAACAACAACAACAACAACAAGAAGCUUGGUGUUUUCAGGAUGUGUUCCUGAGUCUCGUGAGUAGCACAUGGCAGUUGUUGUCACCUUGGGCUGAGCCGUGAAGAUUCUCACCCUCCCUUGUUGGGGAUGAACUCCGGGAUUCUAAGGAGAGGUCAGCAGGUGUUUCACAGACUGUUCCUGUUGGAGGAUUUGUCUGAUACUCUUCUCCUGAUUAGUCUGGGCUCUACAUUUCCCCAAGGGUGAAACUUGGAAGCCCUCUCCAGGAUGCAGCAGGUAGCUGAGGAGAAAACGAAGACUGACCAGCCCAGAGCUCAGAGCUUCCUCCCAUGCUCAGGAUUUACCACCAAUGCCAUUACAUCGGCCUCUUCUUGUAUGCCUCUGGAAACCACAUGUGUCCUCUGUUUGUAAUGGUUUGGCUAUGGUUGCUGGCCCCUCUUGGACAUUGUUUUCAGAACUUAAAGAAACAUUGCUUUAAAGAUUUAUUAGAACAUAUUUAAAAUAAAACCAUCUUCUCAUUUA
rnacentral:lncRNA from 1 species